AGCCACCCAAAAAUGAAAAGGACUUCUGUGUGGAUGAAUGUGAUUAUAGCACUUCAGGUAAACAGCUUUUCAACGCUUUGAGAAAACUGAUUCCUGUGGUAGAUGGCGCCGUCACAGAUGAUUUUGACGAUUCCAUUCCAUGGUCAUGAGCUAAGUGUCAGGUGCAACGAACACAGAAAAACAACCAACUUGAAACUAUCAGGGAGCAUGUUGCAGCUAUCCUUAAUAACUAAGUCGUAAUCAAUAAGCGUUAGUGUAGCAGCUCUCAUAACCUGCUUUUGUUUGGCAUGAUAAGCAGCUUCUAUUGUUUUUCAGUCUAAGUCAUUGUUUCAAUUGUUUGUCUUUUGUUUUUGGCUACGGUAGCAAGCCAAUCAUAUUAUACGUUCCGAGAGCUACUACAUCCCCCUCAAUAAGUCCGGAAAGCCCGGGGGGACUCCCAUUGAAAAACGACGGGGGUUCUCGUCGGAAAUUUUGAAAGAGCCCCUAAGACGUACCAAGAUCCUAUUUUGUGGGCGUAGCUUGAAAUUUUUUUCACCCCUAAGAGGUGGCAAUUCUAGAACAACACAUUCACUGACGCUUUCAUCAUUUUUAAUUACCUUUAUUAUCAAAUAUCUCCUCUCAUAUUUGUUUUCGGCUCAAUACCCUGAAAGUUACCGCAAAAGCUCCCACUGUGGACGUUAUGAGGCUGAACACCACAACAGGUACCAAAAACCGCAUUCUUAACCCUUAAAAGAUAC